AUGCGAUUGAUUUGGAAAUGGGUUUUUUUGUUUAAAUUGCUUUUUUAUACCUUUGUCUUGUUUGGGGGAUGUGCAUGGUAUCGGUACCAUUGGAACGGGAAUAUGUAUACUUAUAGUUAUUCUUCCCGUGCGAUCUUUUUUCGCGAAUACACAAAAGAUUUGUGCAUCUUUUUAUUGACAGGAGAAGAUCAGGCAGGAUGCAAUCCAGGACGUUGCUGCGGUGUGCGCCCACCAAUCAGUCUUGCCACGGAUAGUCUGUGUCACAUGAGGGGUAGACGACAACUCAUAGGUGAAGACACGGAUCGGAUAGCCUGGGCCACGCGAGGGGCAGACAAUGACUCAAAGGUGAAGACACAUGCGCUGCGAGCAUCGAGAUUCACCAUGCAGAGAGUAUGA
rnacentral:rRNA from 1 species